AGCGAACGUUGGCGGCAGGCCUAACACAUGCAAGUCGAACGAAGUCUUCGGACUUAGUGGCGGACGGGUGAGUAACACGUGGGAACGUGCCUUUAGGUUCGGAGUAACUCAGGGAAACUUGUGCUAAUACCGAAUGUGCCCUUCGGGGGAAAGAUUUAUCGCCUUUAGAGCGGCCCGCGUCUGAUUAGCUAGUUGGUGAGGUAAAGGCUCACCAAGGCGACGAUCAGUAGCUGGUCUGAGAGGAUGAUCAGCCACAUUGGGACUGAGACACGGCCCAAACUCCUACGGGAGGCAGCAGUGGGGAAUCUUGCGCAAUGGGCGAAAGCCUGACGCAGCCAUGCCGCGUGAAUGAUGAAGGUCUUAGGAUUGUAAAAUUCUUUCACCGGGGACGAUAAUGACGGUACCCGGAGAAGAAGCCCCGGCUAACUUCGUGCCAGCAGCCGCAGUAA
rnacentral:rRNA from 1 species